GAAAGCAAAUUUGUCAAAUAGUUUGUUCUUUAUAUUUUAAUCAAUAACUUACUUUCAAAUCAUUUCCCAAAAGGUGUUCACAAAAAUUAAGCCAGGAACCAAAAUAAACUUUUUUCUUCAUUUACUCCAACUGUACCCAGCCAUUUAAAAACAUCAUUGACUUUCAUUCUUGUCCCUUGACUCAUUACUCAUAGUAAUAGUAAAAGUAAUUACAGUUUCAGCAUUCAUUAGGUCCUUAGACCUACCACUGAUUCUUAACAUUGCAAAACAUCCAUAGCUGGUUGCAGUCUUAUACAUGCAACUCAUUGCUCUGACUCGGCUUUGCAUUAACUGCCCUGAUUGCUCACAGAAUUCUGACCAGAAACUGGAGCAUAGAGCUGGGAUCAAACCCACACCUCUCUGCUCCAAUCCUGGUAGUAUGAACUCUAACCACUGGGCAAUCCUGCCCACUGUCAGUCAUGAAUCCAUUAUCCAGAAUGAUUUCAAGAUAUGAUAUACAUCUAGAAAAUUUGGGGCUGAGAAUCAUAGCAUGGUUGGUUUAUGGUGACCUUGAUGAUUUUAACUAUCAUCAUAUUGUCACUAUUACCUUUUCGUCAUUAACACCAUCACAUUAUCACUAUCUCACUGCAAAACUAUAAGUGCUGAAGAGCCAAACUAUGGGCUUUCUUAAUAUAUGAUAGUCUUCAAUUGCUAUAAUUUCAAGAUGACAAUAUUUGAUUUCAGAUAUAUUUGAAUGUUGAUCAAUCAACAUGACUAGAACAACAGAAGAAAAGCCACGUCCAUUUCUCAAUAAAGAAGCACGAUACCAAUGUUGGAGUGCCAGAGAUGAAUUUUUUGCUUGUCUUGAUAAAAGUGAUGAAGCUGCAUGCUCAAGUCUGCGCAGCAAGUUUGUAGAAGUGUGUCCCAGCACUUGGGUCAAUUAUUUCAAUAAGAAGCGAUUACGGGAGGAAUAUAACAAAAAGCUACAAUUUGGAUAUGAACCUGUUGAUGAGAUUAAAGUUUGAGCGUAAAAUAUAUUAGACAUUAGUGUUAAAAAUAUUUUGCGUGUAUAUACAAUGAGCUAGUUUUGAGUUGCAACGAUUCAAUUCUCAUUUCAACUAUAUUUCACAGUGUCAUUAGCAUGUCUAUGGUCAUGCACUUUAGUAUGCCAUGUAUUUUAGAUUAAAUUUAAUAUUGUAUUUCCGUUCAAAUACAAGUUUGAUAUGAAAAGAAUAACAUAUAUUGUACGAGUGCGUUGCUAUAUCGCUCCCUCAGCUCGUGACGUGUCCGUAUCGUAGACACUUGCUUAACUCUAGCAACUCCUGUCAGCACCUGCAUCCUGCUGUGUGAAUUUAUUGAAUCAACUGCAAUAUGUUCAAAAAUUAUACUGAAGAUGCGAUUAUAAUUGUCUUGCUAUCAUUUCAUCCCUAAUCUAACAAUAAAAUAUGUCAAAUAUU
rnacentral:lncRNA from 1 species